rnacentral:rRNA from 1 species
UACGUAGGCAGCGCGCGUUGUUCGGAAUUACUGGGCGUAACGAGUGCGUCGGCGGUGCUCUAAGUCUGUCGUGAAAUCUCCCGGCUCCACUGGGAGGGGGCGGCGGAAACUGGAGUGCUAGAGUGUGGGAGAGGUAAGCGGAAUUCCUGGUGUAGCGGUGAAAUGCGUAGAUAUCAGGAGGAACACCUGCGGUGUAGACAGCUUACUGGACCACGACUGACGCUGAGGCACGAAAGCGUGGGUAGCAAACAGG